ACCUGAUCAGCCAUGCCGCGUGAGUGAAGAAGGCCUUCGGGUUGUAAAGCUCUUUCAGCCGGAACGAAACGGUCACGGCUAAUACCUGUGAUCACUGACGGUACCGGAAGAAGAAGCACCGGCUAACUACGUGCCAGCAGCCGCGGUAA
rnacentral:rRNA from 1 species